rnacentral:rRNA from 1 species
UACGGAAGGUCCGGGCGUUAUCCGGAUUUAUUGGGUUUAAAGGGAGCGUAGGCGGCCUUUUAAGUCAGCGGUUAAAUGUCAUGGCCCAACCUUGGCAUGCCGUUGAUACUGGAUGGCUUGAAUACACACAAGGGCUGUGGAAUUCGUCGUGUAGCGGUGAAAUGCUUAGAUAUGACGAAGAACUCCGAUUGCGAAGGCAGCGGCCUGGGGUGCGAUUGACGCUGAGGCUCGAAAGUGCGGGUAUCAAACA